rnacentral:rRNA from 1 species
UACGUAGGGGGCAAGCGUUGUCCGGAAUCAUUGGGCGUAAAGAGCGUGUAGGCGGCCUGCAUAGUCUGGUGUGAAAUCUCGGGGCUCAACCCCGAGCGGUCACUGGAUACUGGCAGGCUUGAGUCUGGAAGAGGAGUGUGGAAUUCCUGGUGUAGCGGUGAAAUGCGUAGAUAUCUGGAGGAACACCGGUGGCGAAGGCGACAUCCUGGACCGGUAUUGACGCUGAGGCGCGAAAGCCAGGGGAGCAAACGGG